rnacentral:rRNA from 1 species
UGGGGAAUAUUGCACAAUGGGCGCAAGCCUGAUGCAGCGACGCCGCGUGCGGGAUGGAGGCCUCGGGUUGUAAACCGCUUUUGUUCAAGGGCAAGGCAGGCUUUCGGGCCUGUUGAGUGGAUUGUUCGAAUAAGCACCGGCUAACUACGUGCC